rfam:Pongo abelii chromosome 15.
UAUUUAGUAUAAGUAGGUCCUAUGCAAUAUUUAGGACCCACUUAUAUUAAAA